UACAGAGGGGGCAAGCGUUAUUCGGAAUUACUGGGCGUAAAGCGCGCGUAGGCGGCUUUGCAAGUCGGGUGUGAAAUCCCCAGGCUUAACCUGGGAACUGCAUUCGAGACUGCAUUGCUAGAGUAUGGGAGAGGGAAGUGGAAUUUCCGGUGUAGCGGUGAAAUGCGUAGAUAUCGGAAGGAACAUCAGUGGCGAAAGCGACUUCCUGGACCAAUACUGACGCUCAUGUGCGAAAAGCGUGGGGAGCAAACAGG
rnacentral:rRNA from 1 species